UACCUCAUUCUAGAUGAGACUGGGCACUGUAAUAUCCAAAAAUUGUUAAUGUGGCUCAAUCGUGGCACAAGUUAUGCUUCCAUCACAGUGUAUUUGUUGCAAUAGUGACAAUGAGACCUGUGACAUUU
ensembl:snoRNA